rnacentral:rRNA from 1 species
AAUUCCCGGUGUAGCGGUGAAAUGCGCAGAUAUCGGGAGGAACACCGGUGGCGAAGGCGGUUCUCUGGGCCUGUCCUGACGCUGAGGAGCGAAAGCGUGGGGAGCGAACAGGAUUAGAUACCCUGGUAGUCCACGCCGUAAACGUUGGGCGCUAGGUGUGGGGUCCUUCCACGGAUUCUGUGCCGCAGCUAACGCAUUAAGCGCCCCGCCUGGGGAGUACGGCCGCAAGGCUAAAACUCAAAGGAAUUGACG